CCCAGAUGACCCAAAAAAGCCCAGUCUGGAUAUGUUCGAUUUUGACUUAAUUUUUUUACAAGGAUUCGGCUUGCAAAGUUGCAACAGGUUGUACGAGCUGGAUCAAUACAAAAUAUUGUACAUUUUCAACAUGGCUAUUUUUUUUAUUUGCAGGCCACACGACGAAAUACAGUGCAAUAGUAGAUCUCCGUUCAAGAAAUCGUCACCAAUGUCGCGAAUGGUUACCCUAACAUAUCCAUUCAAUCCUUUUAACAAAGUGUGUUAGAGACUUAUAAAUGUGUGUUUCCUCGAGUGUGGCGUUUAAGAAGGUGAUACAAUUGGAUAGGAAAAGCGUGGCACAAUUGAUGUAGUUUUUUACGAUUAUUCACAAAAGAAGGUUCAAGCUUCCAUCGUCAUGGUUUUUGACCAUUCAAGUUUUUAAGCAUUGUCCAAAAUGUUUGAACCUGUUUGAAGCUUAGCUUAACAUUCAUUUUGGUCAAAUCUAAGACUCUGAGAUGAUGAUGACAUGAUCUUUGCUGCUAGGCUUAUUGUAUUACAUGCACCAGUAAAUUAUAUAGUCAUGUAACUAAAGGCAAGAUACACUACAGAGAUAAUUUUUGAGACACUUCACGGUAUAGUUCGCAUAACAAUAGACUUUACUAUUUUAAUAUUAGACUUGCGGCCCAAUAGUCUCGCUUUUAUGUUUGCCUGUUUUAGCAUGGCAGGUCAAGUGGAGGUUUCGCGCACGAAUAUAUUCAGUAUAUUCGAAUUCUCUUUUGAUAUUGACUGACUUGAGCCCAAUCACAAGCCUACUGUAUAUCCUUAAGGCAAUUGCGUACGAUCGAAAUAUGAGGAAUAACCAGAUGAAAACAACGGCAUUGGGCCGAAAGAGCAAUAUACAGUUCAGUAUUUUCAUUACAAACGACGUCACAC